GAUGAACGCUGGCGGUGUGCCUAAUACAUGCAAGUCGAACGGGAUCUUCGGAUCUAGUGGCGAACGGGUGAGUAACACGUUGGUACCUACCCCUAAGUGGGGAAUAACUGCCCGAAAGGGUGGCUAAUACCGCAUAAUCCCGCAAGGGUAAAGCAGUAAUGCGCUUAGGGAGGGCCUGCGUCUGAUUAGCUAGUUGGUAGGGUAAUGGCCUACCAAGGCGACGAUCAGUAGCUGGANCGAGAGGUUGACCAGCCACACUGGGACUGAGAUACGGCCCAGACUCCUACGGGAGGCAGCAGUAAGGAAUCUUCC
rnacentral:rRNA from 1 species